rnacentral:lncRNA from 1 species
GGAGAAGCAGGCCCCAUGCACUGGGAGCCCGAUGUGGGAUUCGAUCCCGGGUCUCCAGGAUCGCACCCUGGGCCAAAGGCAGGCGCCAAACUGCUGCGCCACCCAGGGAUCCCCCUGGAGCAUUUUAAAGGAAAUCUUAGGCAUGAUAUAAUUUUAUCCAUUAAAACUUUAGCAUACAAUGGGGCACCUAGGUGGCUUAGUUGAGCAUCAGACUCUUGGUUUCAGCUCAGGUCAUGAUCUCAUUGGUCAUGGGACUGAGCCCUGCAUGGGGAAUCCCCACUCAGCAGGGAAUCUGCUUGGAGAUUCUCUUCCUCUGCUCCUCCCCCCACUUGCACACAAGCUUUCUUUCUCUCUAGAAUAAAUAAAUCUUUGAAAAAAAUAAAUAAAACUUCAGAAUACAUGUUGAACUAAUCAAGAUUUUAAAAAAUGACUAGUUUUUGUUUUGUAUUGUUUUUAGAAGCUACAUUCAAUUGUUUAUUUAUUUUAAAAAAAUUUUUUUAAAUUUUAUUUAUGAUAGUCACACAGAGAGAGGGAGAGGCAGACACAAGCAGAGGGAGAGGCAGGCCCCAUGCACUGGGAGCCCGACGUGGGACUCGAUCCCGGGUCUCCAGGAUCGCGCCCUGGGCCAAAGGCAGGCGCCAAACCACUGCGCCACCCAGGGAUCCCCAUUCAAUUGUUUAUUAACCUAUUUAAUAAAUAUAUACAAGUUAUUACUGUGUGCCAGGUCCAGUCUCAGCUCUGCUGUUAUUGUGCUAAGCAAGGAUGAUAAAAGUCCCAAUCUUCACAAAGAAACACAUGACAAACAAAUUAGUUUUAGAGAGUGACAAAAUGAAGAAAUAAGACAGGGUCAUGUGACAAUGACUAGGACAGGGAGGGCGUUAUCUUAUUUUGGGUGACCAGAACAGUAACAGCCCAAGAUUAAGAAUGGGGCUCUGGAGCCUGGUUUCAAAUCCCAGCACUACCACUUCUCAGCUGUGUGACUUGAGCAAAUCACUUAAACUCUCUGAGGUCAUAAAGCAGCUGCCUUAUAGGGUUGUUGGGAGAAUUAAAUGGGUUAACAGAUAUAGAGCACUUAGUAAAGUGCCAGGCAUGCAGUAAUUGCUCAGUAGAUGUGGGAAGAAAAAAAGCAAAGACUUUUGAAGGAGGCAACUUUAUGUAUGUAUGUAUGUAUAUAUGUAUGUAUGUAUAUAUUUAUUUAUAAAGUAGGUUCCAUGGCCAACAUGGGGCUUGAACUCAAAUUCUGAGAUCAAGAGUCACAUGCUCCACCAACUAAACCAGCUGGGUGCCCCUGAAGGAGACAACUUUUGAACUGAGACCUAAAUAAUGAGAAAGAAUUAGCUGUAUGAAGAUCUGCGAAGAGCAUUCUGCAAGAGAAAAGAUACCGAGGCAGGGAUGAACUUGGUGUAUUUGAGAAGGAGAAGGGAUGCUUUCAGAAUUUGGAGAGGCAAAACUGAGAGUGAGAAGGGCAGAUUAAUGGCAGGAAAGGUGAGCAAGAGUCAGGUCGUGAAGGGGUGGGCUUGCAGGCUUCUGUUGGGAAUUCAGACUUUCUUUAAAGGACAACAAGGAGCUGCUAGAGAGUUUCCAGUAGGGGAGUGACCUGAACUAUACCUGUUUGGAACAAUUACUGUCUGGCUUCCAUGGCUUCCAUGUGGAGAAUGGAUUUGGAGUGGGGACAAAAGCUGAGAAACGAGCUAAAAGCUUUACCCAGAACAUGUGCAGAACCUGGAACAAGAGGCCCCUAUACCAUGUGUUUAAAUAUUUAACAGUUAAAUCAGGUAAAGAAACUUUAAUAAAACAUGUUCUAUCCUCCUACCUUGACACUAUCCCUUCAUAAUGUCAAAAUUGAAAAAUAUGUGUAAAGCCAGUUUGUAAGACUGAAAGUCAACAAAAUACUCAAGAUGACUGAGCUUAAUCAUUGUGAGUUGUGUGUGUUGUUUAUAGACUUUUGAUGUUUUGAAGAAUAAUAAAAUGAUACAUCAUUUAUAAAUAACUGUGUGUGUGUGUUUUGUUUUAUUUUUUUUAGAUUUUAUUUAUUUAUUCAUGAAAGACACAGAGACAGAGAGAGGCAGAGACACAGGCAGAGGGAGAAGCAGUCUCCAUGCAGGGAGCCUGGUGUGGGACUUGAUCCCAGGUUCCCAGGACCACGCCCUGGGCUGAAGGCGGCACUAAACUGCUGAGCCACCCGAGCUGCCCUAUAAUUUUGUAUUUAUUCUAGUAAUUUCUUUUUCUUGCGGUCCUUUCAGAAAUAUCACUAAUUACUUUUAAGUCAGGUUUUUCACAUAAUGUGUCCUAUUGACAGUAAUCCUAUCAUAGGGUUAAAGAUUUAUUCAAAAUAUGUGAAUUUGAAUAUAUUUUCAUCCAAAAUGUAAUUUAAGCAAAUGUAAAAUAUUAUAAUUAAAAAUUUUUAAUUCAUAUUUUAUCAAGUUAUUUUUCUUCUAAAUAUGCAAAAUUGUUAAAAUGAAAAGGCAAAAUAUAAUUACACUAAGUGAAUGUUAAAUUUUACAAUCAAAAUUAUUUAGAGAAAUUUGGAAUUAGUUUUUUUAAGGAUUUUAUUUAUUUACUUAUUUGAGAGGGAGAGAGCAAGUGAGCAGGAGGAGGGGAAGAGGGAGAGGGACAAGUAGACUCCGUGCAGGAUGCAGGGUUCAAUCCCACAACAUGAGGCUCCAGUUCACUUGGAGAUCACGACCUGAGUUGAGAUCAAGAGUCAAAUACUCAACCAACUGAGCCACUCAGGUGCCCCUGAAAUUAGUUUUUAAAAAUUUAAUUAAAUAUCAUUAAAUGCUUUGUUGUACAAGAAUCCACUGGAUUCAUACUAUCUGAGGGGAAGGCUCUGACAAACUGAUUUGUCUCUUCUAUUAUGUAAGCGAUUCCACCAUUCAGAUCCUCCCCACAGUUGGAAACAGUGUCUGUCUUGAGUGUAAGCAGUGGCACAAGCUACUGAAAACCAUUAGGAUGUGCUUGUCUUUUCUUUAGAGAUGUGGACGAGCUUGCCCUGAGUCAUGAGAGUGGAUGUGUAGGAUUAUAGGAUGAAAACAGUUCCAGGACUGAGUGUCAGAUCAGCAAUAACAGAAGUAUCUGUGUAUCUGUAAAAUGGGGAUAUUGGCACCCAUCUCAUUGGGUCAUUGAAAGGAUUAAAGGUAAUAAUGUAUUAUAAAGCCCCAAUAUUUUGUUUUUUCCUUAUUGCACAAAAUAACAUUCAAAUAAGUUGGGCUUAGAUAGAUUUGGUUCUUGCUAGAGGUGAUGGCUAGGAUGUUAGUUAAAAUAGUUUGGAUUUGGGCGGCCCCGGUGGCGCAGCGGUUUGGCGCCGCCUGCAGCCUGGGGCGUGAUCCUGGAGACACGGGAUCGAGUCCCACAUCAGGCUCCCUGCAUGGAGCCUGCUUCUCCCUCUGCCUGUGUCUCUGUCUCUGUGUUGCACAUGGAUAAAUAAAUAAAUUAAAAAAAAAAAAACUACACAUUUAAAAAAAAUAAAAUAGCUUGGAUUCUUGGGACAGAUUUUUAAAAAAUAAAUUAGUACUAUUUUAUCGUAAAAAUAAUACCAUAUUCAGUAAUACUUAGUUCAGCCAAUAUGGUAGACUGAAUUAAUGACAAAAUAUCUUUUCUCCAAGUUCACACUCACAGAAAUGUUUGGAAAUGUUGCCUACUAAAAAGUCAUUUCCUCCUCCUACCUGUUCUUCCUUCACCAUUGCAAAAGUUCACUGCCCAGUAUAGAGACUGGAAAAUGUCCAGAUUCACUUUUCCUGCUUCUCUCAUGGAUAGUUUAUAGGCAGGUUCUGGCCAAUGGGACUUGAGGGAAAGUCUGCAAGGGAUUCUGGGAAAGGUUCCCCACUAUGAUAGCAAGGGAUGCAUGGAAAGAAAUGUCU